CGGUGCCCGGAGCGGACUCCGUGGGGAGGAGCCCCGGCCAGCUCUGCGCGCAGAGGCCGCGGUCACGGGCCAGUCCGCUCGCUGGCGGGGACCCCAGGGCGUCCCGGGAUGCACCAACGGAGAAAUCCCGGAGCGCUGCAGACGUUCGCAACCAUUUGUGUAACCUUCAAAAAUAAGCAACACAGCUUUAGAGCACUUCUACACGUUGUAUCAGUUGAUUCUCACAACAGAUAAUUCUCUCCAUGUGCAAGAUGAAGAAACAGAAUUGAAAGUUAACCUGAGGCCAGCAGGACAAAGACAGGAAAGAGUUCUGUGAUCGGACUGUGUUCUGUGGAUUGAGAAGACUGAACCAUCUGAUCUCUAAAUUCCUUUGCAACCCCGCUGUUGAGUGAUUUCGUGGUGCUGGGUUGCGGGCAGCUUACAGAAGCAGUGGUUGGAUGGGAUCUCAAAGGGAAACUGCGGAGAGCGCUGAGAACAGAAGCAACACCCGGCUAUCCAAUUGGAGAAGGAGCAGCCUUGGCGAGCGACGUAGAAGGAUGAGUCUGAGAAGCAGGAAAGAAAAACAGCGUGGGUGUCAGAGUCCGAUGCCCAGGGGAGCCAGGCAGCCACACUCUCCCUGUCGGGGGCCACUGCCACAUGUGUGAUGGGUGGUGGCGACUGCAGAGCCCAUGCCCACCCGGAGCCAGCCCACUGUCUCUU